rnacentral:rRNA from 1 species
GACGAACGCUGGCGGCGUGCUUAACACAUGCAAGUCGAACGGAAAGGCCCUGCUUUUGUGGGGUGCUCGAGUGGCGAACGGGUGAGUAACACGUGAGUAACCUGCCCUUGACUUUGGGAUAACUUCAGGAAACUGGGGCUAAUACCGGAUAGGAGCUCCUGCUGCAUGGUGGGGGUUGGAAAGUUUCGGCGGUUGGGGAUGGACUCGCGGCUUAUCAGCUUGUUGGUUGGGUAGGGGCUUACCAAGGCUUUGACGGGUAGCCGGCCUGAGAGGGUGACCGGCCACAUUGGGACUGAGAUACGGCCCAGACUCCUACGGGAGGCAGCAGUGGGGAAUAUUGCACAAUGGGCGGAAGCCUGAUGCAGCAACGCCGCGUGCGGGAUGACGGCCUUCGGGUUGUAAACCGCUUUCGCCUGUGACGAAGCGUGAGUGACGGUAAUGGGUAAAGAAGCACCGGCUAACUACGUG